rnacentral:tRNA from 1 species
ACAAACGUGCUGAAAUGGUAGACAGGCCAUGCUUAGGACAUGGUGCUUAUUAAAGUAUAUGGGUUCAAGUCCCAUCGUUUGUA